AUUGAACGCUGGCGGCAGGCCUAACACAUGCAAGUCGAACGGUAACAGGAAGAAGCUUGCUUCUUUGCUGACGAGUGGCGGACGGGUGAGUAAUGUCUGGGAAACUGCCUGAUGGAGGGGGAUAACUACUGGAAACGGUAGCUAAUACCGCAUAACGUCGCAAGACCAAAGAGGGGGACCUUCGGGCCUCUUGCCAUCGGAUGUGCCCAGAUGGGAUUAGCUAGUAGGUGGGGUAACGGCUCACCUAGGCGACGAUCCCUAGCUGGUCUGAGAGGAUGACCAGCCACACUGGAACUGAGACACGGUCCAGACUCCUACGGGAGGCAGCAGUGGGGAAUAUUGCACAAUGGGCGCAAGCCUGAUGCAGCCAUGCCGCGUGUAUGAAGAAGGCCUUCGGGUUGUAAACUACUUUCAGCGGGGAGGAAGGGAGUAAAGUUAAUACCUUUGCUCAUUGACGUUACCCGCAGAAGAAGCACCGGCUAACUCCGUG
rnacentral:rRNA from 1 species